UCCCUGGUGGUCCAGUGGCUAAGACUUUACCCUCUCAAUGCAAGGGGCCCAGGUUCGAUUCCUGGCCAGGGAA